AACGAACGCUGGCGGCGUGGAUAAGACAUGCAAGUCGAACGGGAAAUACACUUAGCUUGCUUUGAGUAUUUCUAGUGGCGCACGGGUUAGUAACACGUGAGCAACCUGCCCUGAAGUGGGGGAUAGCCCAGCGAAAGCUGGAUUAAUACCGCAUGUGACCUACGGGUUAAAGAUGCCUUCGGGUGUCACUUCAGGAUGGGCUCGCGGCCUAUCAGCUAGAUGGUGAGGUAAUGGCUCACCAUGGCGACGACGGGUAACUGGUCUGAGAGGAUGAUCAGUAACACUGGAACUGAGACACGGUCCAGACACCUACGGGUGGCAGCAGUCGAGAAUCAUUCACAAUGGGGGAAACCCUGAUGGUGCAACGCCGCGUGGAGGAUGAAGGCCCUAGGGUCGUAAACUCCUGUCAUCAGAGAGUAAUGCAUGAUCGUUAAUAGCUUUCAUGCUUGAUAGUAUCUGAAGAGGAAGGGACGGCUAACUUCG
rnacentral:rRNA from 1 species